GAUGAAGAACGCAGCGAAAUGCGAUAAGUAGUGUGAAUUGCAGAACUCCGUGAAUCAUCGAAUCUUUGAACGCACAUUGCGCCUCCUGGUAGUCCGGGAGGCAUGCCUGUUCGAGCGUCACCAAAUCCAACUCAAGCGGUUUUGCGCUUGGUCGUGGCGGAAGAGUCGGUCUGGUUGCCGUCUCCCCUCCGAAAAUCAACGGCGGAAAGUCACUGGCAGUCAGCGUAGUAGUAUCGUUCGCCGAACAUCCAGUGGCAUUCCUGCCGACGUACCCCCACAAUUCUCGUGAUUGACCUCGGAUCAGGUAGGGAUACCCGCUGAACUUAAGCAUAUCAAUAAGCGGAGGA
rnacentral:misc_RNA from 1 species